UGCCUCCACUUGGUCUCGCCUAGCUCCGCCCCUCCCACUCCGCUUGCUGCCUCCCAAGAUGGCUACGCUGUUGCCGGGCCCGGAGCCGUGGAACCGGGUGAGGAUCCCUAAGGCAGGGAGCCGUAGCGCAGUGACCGUACAGGACCCAGAUACGGCGCUAGACCUUUGCAUUGCAGCUAUAAUUAAAGAAUGCUGUCGCAUUACAUUGUCACUGAAGAGCCGAACCUUAGAUGCAGAGACAGAUGUAUUAUGCGCAAUCCUUUACAGCAAUCACAACAGAAUGGGGCGCCAUAAGCCCCAUUUGGCCCUCAGACAGGUUGAACAGUGUUUAAAACGUUUGAAAAACAUGAAUUUGGAAGGUUCAAUUCAAGAUCUCUCAGAGUCAUUUUCUUCUAAGGUUCUGUAUAAAGAUGUUUUAAAAAAGCUGGUUUCUUUAUAUGAACCAUUGUUUGGAUUACUUCAAGAGGUCUCCAGGAUUCAACCAUUGCCUUACUUCAAAGGUUUUACCUUUCCUUCUGAUAUUGUUGAAUUUUUAGGAGAGCCCUAUUUUGAAGUCUUUAAGAAAAAAAUGCCUACAGCUUUUGUAGCUAAAGGAGUAACCAAACUGCUAAAUAAACUAUUUUUAACAAAAGAGCAAUCACAGAGGUCGGGUGAAGAAACUUUACUUAGAAUUUCUGAAAAAGCUAAACAAAUGAAGAUCAAUAUACCAAAUAACAUGGAUCUUGGACAACCAGUAAAGAGUAAGAAAAUCUUAAAAGAAAAGUCAUCAGAAUUUGAUGUGAGAGCUUUCUGCAAACAGCUGAAACAAAAAGCUAUUCAGGAGAAGAACUUUGAGUUUAAAUGUUCUCCAUCCAAACUAAAGGCAACCAAACAUUCUUCUCAGAAAGCAAUAGGAACUCCCUGUGUAAAAAGUCUUGUGCAAAGAUUCCGAGAGGCUGAGACUUUCACACAACUUUCUGAAGAAAUCCAAAUGGCAAUUCUGUGGUGUAGAAGCAAAAAACUGAAGGUUCAGACCACCUUUCUGGGUAACAAACUUCUUAAAAGUAAUCGGCUUAAACAUGUGGAAGCUCAAGGCUCUAGUUUGCCAAAGAAGCUACAGUGCAUGAAAACAUCUAUUUGCAACUGCCUUCUUCAUGGCUUAGGUAUGAAAACUUCGAAGCAUCACCUGAGACAAAGAAGAUCACAGAAUAAAUUUUCACUGAAAGGAAGGAAAGAGAGAAAGUUGCAGUCGACUCUUUCAAAGGAAAUCCAGCAGCCCCCUCGAGGGACUCAGAGUGCUACGGAUGUCAUUAAAGGGAGACUCUCAGAUUCUACUGUUUGUAGGACUGAUGUGUACCCUAACAAUAAGCAAGUGUUGAAUAGGAGAGUUUCAGAUCCUUUCAUACAAACUAAGGAGACACAAACUCAUGAAAAGCUUACAGAAAGCAAUGAAAAUGAGGCGGGUUCUUGGACAGUGAUGCAAGGAAAUAAACAUAAUACAUCAGGAACCACUAAGGAGACAGACGACAUUGAUGAUAUUUUUGCUUUAAUGGGAGUUUAG
rnacentral:lncRNA from 1 species